UGGGGAAUAUUGCACAAUGGGGGAAACCCUGAUGCAGCGACGCCGCGUGAAGGAAGAAGUAUCUCGGUAUGUAAACUUCUAUCAGCAGGGAAGAAAAUGACGGUACCUGACUAAGAAGCCCCGGCUAACUACGUGCCAGCAGCCGCGGUAAUACGUAGGGUGCAAGCGUUGUCCGGAAUUACUGGGUGUAAAGGGAGCGCAGGCGGGAAGACAAGUUGGAAGUGAAAACCAUGGGCUCAACCCAUGAAUUGCUUUCAAAACUGUUUUUCUUGAGUAGUGCAGAGGUAGAUGGAAUUCCCGGUGUAGCGGUGGAAUGCGUAGAUAUCGGGAGGAACACCAGUGGCGAAGGCGGUCUACUGGGCACCAACUGACGCUGAGGCUCGAAAGCAUGGGUAGCAAACAGGAUUAGAUACCCUGGUAGUCCAUGCCGUAAACGAUGAUUACUAGGUGUUGGGGGAUUGACCCCCUCAGUGCCGCAGUUAACACAAUAAGUAAUCCACCUGGGGAGUACGACCGCAAGGCUAAAACUCAAAGGAAUUGACGGGGGCCCGCACAAGCAGUGGAGUAUGUGGUUUAAUUCGACGCAACGCGAAGAACCUUACCAAGUCUUGACAUCCCUUGACAGGCAUAGAAAUAUGUUUUCUCUUCGGAGCAAGGAGACAGGUGGUGCAUGGUUGUCGUCAGCUCGUGUCGUGAGAUGUUGGGUUAAGUCCCGCAACGAGCGCAACCCUUAUGGUCAGUUACUACGCAAGAGGACUCUGGCCAGACUGCCGUUGACAAAACGGAGGAAGGUGGGGAUGACGUCAAAUCAUCAUGCCCUUUAUGACUUGGGCUACACACGUACUACAAUGGCGUUAAACAAAGAGAAGCAAGACCGCGAGGUGGAGCAAAACUCAGAAACAACGUCCCAGUUCGGACUGCAGGCUGCAACUCGCCUGCACGAAGUCGGAAUUGCUAGUAAUCGUGGAUCAGCAUGCCGCGGUGAAUACGUUCCC
rnacentral:rRNA from 1 species